rfam:Hordeum vulgare subsp. vulgare, WGS project CAJW01000000 data, contig: morex_contig_133502
AUGCUACUCCCUCCGUCUGAAAAUACUUGUCACAGGAAUGAAUGCAUUUAAAUCUAUUUUAGUUUUAGAUAAAUCUAUUUUUAUAAAUUUGUUCGACAAGUAAUUCCAGACAGAGGGAGUAUGUA